CCUACGGGAGGCAGCAGUGAGGAAUAUUGGUCAAUGGGCGAGAGCCUGAACCAGCCACGCCGCGUGAAGGAUGAAGGAUCUCUGUUUGGUAAGCUUCAUUUAUAUGGGAGUAAAGUAAGGAACGUGUUCCUUUUUGUAUGUACCAUUUGAAUAAGCAUCCGCUAACUCCGUGCAAGCAGCCGCGGUAAUACGGAGGAUGCGAGCGUUAUCCGGAUUUAGUGGGUGUAAGGGGUGCGUAGGUGGUUAUUUAAGUCAGCGGUGAAUGUUUGUGGUUAAACCAUAAAAUUGCCGUUGAAACUGGUUGACUUGAGUAUAUUUGGGGUAGGCGGAAUGCGUGGUGUAGCGGUGAAAUGCAUAGAUAUCACGCAGAACUCCGAGUGCGAAGGCAGCUUACUAAACUAUAACUGACACUGAAGCACGAAAGCGUGGGGAUCAAACAGGAUUAGAUACCCGAGUAGUC
rnacentral:rRNA from 1 species